rnacentral:rRNA from 1 species
UACGUAGGGAGCAAGCGUUGUCCGGAAUCAUUGGGCGUAAAGCGCGUGUAGGCGGUUCGGUAAGUCUGCUGUGAAAGUCCAGGGCUCAACCCUGGGAUGCCGGUGGAUACUGUCGGACUAGAGUACGGAAGAGGCGAGUGGAAUUCCCGGUGUAGCGGUGAAAUGCGCAGAUAUCGGGAGGAACACCAAUUGCGAAGGCAGCUCGCUGGGACGUUACUGACGCUGAGACGCGAAAGCGUGGGGAGCAAACAGG